AGCGAACGCUGGCGGCAGGCUUAACACAUGCAAGUCGAACGAACAUUCCGGGGUUAGUGGCGGACGGGGGAGUAACACGUGGGGACGUGCCUUUAGGUUCGGAAUAACUCAGUGAAACUUGUGCCAAUACCGAAUGUGCCCUUCGGGGGAAAGAUUUUUCGCCUUUGGAGCGGGUCGCGUCUGUUUAGCGUGUGGGUUGAGGUCAUGGCUUACCAGGGUGACGAUCAGUAGCUGGCCUGGGAGGAGGAUCAGCGACAUUGGGACUGAGACACGGCCCAAACUGCGGCGGGAGGGAGCAGUGGGGAAUCUUGCGCGAUAGGCGAAAGCCUGACGCAGCCGUGCCGGGUGAAUGAUGUAGGUCUGAGGAUUGUAAAAUUCUUUCACCGAGGACGAUAGUGACGGUACCCGGAGAAGAAGCACCGGCUAACUACGUG
rnacentral:rRNA from 1 species